GACGAACGCUGGCGGCGUGCUUAACACAUGCAAGUCGAACGGAAAGGCCUGCUUUCCCUUGUGACUUGCGGGUACUCGAGUGGCGAACGGCUGAGUAACACGUGAGUGAUCUGCCCCCAACUUGGGUAUAAGCCUGGGACACUGGGUCUAAUUCCCGAUAGCACUGAAGGGUGGUGCCUGUGGUGGAAAACGAUUUUCUAGUGGUUGUGGAGGAGCUCGCGGCCGAUCAGCUUGUUGGUGAGGUAAAGGCCCACCAAGGCGACGACGAGUAGCCGGCCAGAGAGGAUGAUCAGCCACAGUGGGACUGAGACACGGCCCAAACUCCUACGGGAGGCAGCGGUGGGGAAUCUUGCGAAAGGGGCGAAAGCCUGACGCAGCCAUGCCGCGUGAAUGAUGAAGGUCUUAGGAUUGUAAAAUUCUUUCACCGGGGACGAUAAUGACGGUACCCGGAGAAGAAGCCCCGGCUAACUUCGUG
rnacentral:rRNA from 1 species